CUACGGGUCGCUGCAGUAACGAAUAUUGGGCAAUGACCGAAAGGUUGACCCAGCGACGCCGCGUGCAGGAUGAAUCCCCUCGGGGUGUAAACUGCUGUCGAGAGGAAGUAAGCGCAAGUUGAACUACUCUAAAGGAAGUCACGGCUAACUUCGUGCCAGCAGCCGCGGUAAUACGAAGGUGGCAAGCGUGUGUUCGGAAUCACUGGGCUUAAAGCGUACGCAGGCGGUUUGUUAAGCGUUCUUUGAAAUCCCCCGGCUCAACCGGGGAAUUGGGGAGCGAACUGUCAAACUUGAGGCAUUCAGGGGCGGGUGGAACUCUUCGUGGAGCGGUGGAAUGCGUAGAUAUGAAGAGGAACGCCAGAGGUGAAAACGACCCGCUGGGAAUGACCUGACGCUGAGGUACGAAAGCAUGGGUAGCGAACGGGAUUAGAUACCCGGGUAGUC
rnacentral:rRNA from 1 species